rnacentral:rRNA from 1 species
CGAAAUCCUGCUGAGAGGUGGUCAGUGCUCGAGAGAACACCGGCACACAGGUGCUGCGUGGGUGUCGUCAUCUCGUGUCGUGAGAUGUUGGGUUAACCCCCGCAACGAGCGCACCCCUUGUCCUUAGUUGCUACGCAAGAGCACUCUAAGGAGACUGCCGGUGACAAACCGGAGGAAGGUGGGGAUGACGUCAAGUCCUCAUGGCCCUUAUGGGUAGGGCUUCACACGUCAUACAAUGGUCGGAACAGAGGGUUGCCAACCCGCGAGGGGGAGCUAAUCCCAGAAAACCGAUCGUAGUCCGGAUUGCACUCUGCAACUCGAGUGCAUGAAGCUGGAAUCGCUAGUAAUCGCGGAUCAGCAUGCCGCGGUGAAUACGUUCCCGGGUCUUGUACACACCGACCG